rnacentral:rRNA from 1 species
AGGUAGCAUAAUCACUUGUUUUUUAAUUGAAAACUAGAAUGAAAGAGUUGACAAAAAGUAAGCUUUUUUUUUAAAAAUUUUAAUUUGACAUAAAGAUAAAAAGGUCUUCAUAUAUUAGAGGGACGAUAAGACCCUAUGAAAUUUUACUUAUAACUAGUUCAUAAUAAAGAUAAUUUAACUUAUUAUAUAAGUUAAGCUGGGGCGGUAUUUAUAUUUACUAUAUUAAAAAAAACACUAAAAAUGAAAUUUUAGAACAUUAAUUUAUAAAUUUAAACAAAUUACUCUAGGGAUAACAGCACAAUUUCUUUUGAUAGCUCAUAUAGACAAAGAAGUUUGUGACCUCGAUGUUGAAUUGGGAUUCAUAUAGUAAAGCAAAAAUUAAUAAUAUUAGUCUGUUCGACUAUUAAACUCCC